rnacentral:lncRNA from 1 species
CAAGAUGCCGUUUUUCUUUCUGUGAGGCAGAUCCCUUUUCCUCUCAGAAAUUCUUCUGAGACCCUUCUGACAAUUCAGCUGUGCAUGAAAUUAUUCUUAGGAUGUGUCUGUCUAUGUAGCUAUUAAAAACAAAAGAAAAUUAUACUAAUCUUUCUGUAUAAAAUGAAGGCUUUGUCAUUGAUGCUGAAAGUAUGUUUUUGUAUUUCAUCAUUUUCCACUGCUGCUUACAGUUCAUCUUGUAUUAUUAUUAUUUCAGGUAUUUGCUGGGAAUAUUUCAAUAUCUUGGAAUGAAGACCUCUCUAAUAUCAUAUCUAUACUUGAUCAUCUGUGAGGAAGAGAGUGUGAGUAGCAACAUUUGAAAGGCCAGGUUGAUAUCAUGACCUUCAGCAACUCUUGAACCUGUGGAUGAAUCUGCCAGCUGAGAUGCAAAGAACAAAUAAAAAGGCUGCUUUGCAGUGCUUCAUUAGGUUUGAAGAGAAAACAAUAAGAAAUCACUUCCUUGCCAAUGUAUUUAGUACAAGAAUGCGAUGCUAUAUCAAUAGAGAUGUGAAUGUGAUGAAGACAGCAACUUCUGAAGGGGACAGAGGCUGCUGUGUUGAGCAUCCAGUUCCUCCUUGGAAAGCAGCUGCAGCUGUUCUGGCUUUCUGCCAUCAUGCCAUUGGCAUCUGGUGUAAGCAACACAGAUAUUUCCUGCUCCUGGCAGUCUUCUAUCUUAGGGUACUUGCCCGUUACAUCCAUGAAUGCUGCAUACAUAACUACAGAGAGCUCCACAAGCUUGUAAGUAUUCUUUCCCAAAGCAGAAAUUAGCUUGGAGGUAAAUCCAAGGAACACUACUUGAAGACUGUCUUCACCUCCUCUCUGGAAAGAGCUGUAAAAACCAGUUUGUUGAUGUUCAUGUGGAGGUUUACAGCCUCCAGGGACUUUAGAUAGGAACAUAAAAGAAACGGCCUACUAGGGAUGGUGAAGAGUGCAUGAGAUUCAAAGGAGAAAGCAGAAAGACGGAGUAGACACUAUUUGUAGGAAUGAAAUAACCCUUGUUUAUUCUGGCAUUCGUUAAGGGAUAGAUAAAGUGAACCAACCUAAGCUGGAAGUGAAAGAACAAAUGUAGGAAAGGUGAUGUGCAUGUGAAGCCUUUUAAAUGAUUUUGUAAAGUUUUAACUGAAGUUCUAAUAUCUAUGCUCUUUGAUUAAUAAAG